UAGCACGUCAGUAAUGUUAUCUGAUGGUAACAAUGGCACAGAUCCUUGAAAAAUAAUUAUAGAAGAGGGUAAGCAAUGUGAUGCUUGUUAAAAUGGAACAUAUAUAAAUAUCAGUUGAUCUAGAUGGUCUGCAUUUUAGCAUAUGAAAUGAAUUCCUGAUCCUAUUUACCACACCGCUGACAAUGAUUGUGAAAAGUCUUGUGCAACUGAGAAUAACUGAGAGGCUACAGAAAAGAAAAUGUAGUGCUGACUUCCAAAAUUGGAAAGAAGAGUGUUCCUGAUAAUUGCGACUGGAUUGUAAGCUCUUCAGUGCAGAGAGGAAUGACAACUCAGUAUCUAGAUAUCAUUAAUUGAAGCCACAAAUGCUGGAAUUUGAUUUGCCAUUGCAGCACAGCUCAGGAACCACCAGCCUUAAGCCAACCAGCUGUCAUGCCAAACCAAGCUGCCAGCUGUCUGCUGAACGUGUCAAACACCCCAGAGGAGAAGAAUGUCAGAUGACAAGUCCAUGACAAAUGGUGUCAGUUCUAUCAGAGAAAUGCCACUUGGCAACACAUAGAGCCGUCUGCAACCACAGAGUUAGACAAAAUUCUGAGUGAUAUUAGGAGCGGCAUUGCUGCUGGCUAUCACAACAUAUCAUCAGAGUUUUUGAAGCACCUCCGACUGCUGGUGCAGUUCUUCUUGUGAGUGGUCAACCAACAGUGACUUCCAAAGAGAUGGUAAAUGUCAGAAGUCAUUGCUCUCAUGAAACUGGAGGACUAACAAUGUUGCAAGCCAUUGACCAAUAUCCCUGUUAUCUGUGCCAUUCAAGGUGCUGGAGCAUCUCAUUCUCCAGGUCAUCUUCCCAGAUAUGGAGUCAAUUCUCAGCAUUGAGCAAACAGGCUUUCAGAGAGAUUGGAGAAUCUACAAUCAAAUGCUAACUUUGAUAACAUUAAUCAAAAACUAUCUUUAGAAAAGAUUGGAGUCAUAUUUCUGGACCUAACAGCAGCAUAUGACACAGUCUGGCACAUGGGGCUCUUAGUCGAAUUGUUAAGAGCACUUCCAGCAUGCAUAGCCAACGCCCUUGAUCUCCUCCUCCACUUGUGUUUCCAAGUGCACGUGGGAGACAGAGUUAGUGCAUGGAAAAGAAAUCAAGAGUCUAUCCCAAGCCUCUUUGCUAGCACUAACACUUUUCAAUUUGUACACAAACAACCUCCCACUUACCCAGUCCCACAAGUUCAUGUAUACAGAUGGCAUUUGCUUAGGCUUUCCAGCAGGGUCAUUAACAGAAGACUUGACUAAGAUGGCCGAAUACUGUAGUCAGUGGCAUUUACGAUCAAGUGUGCCCAAGACAGUAUUGAGUGUGUUCCAUCUUUACAAUGCACCUCAACCGCCCAAGAACUGAAUAUCUUUCUCAAUGGACAUUGCUAGAAACAUGAAUCCCACCUCUACCACAGAGUAACACUAGAUAGAUCUUUCACUACCUGAGGAAUAUUGAGGUCACAUAAACAAAUUUGCCAGCAAUUCAUGGUGAACAAAUGCUCAAACUUUCCAAUCAUCCAGUUAUUUAGCCCUCUGAUACUCUGCAGCAGAAUACUGUGCUCCAGUCUGGCUCCAUUUAUCUCACGUCAAGUUGGCUGACACACAACUACACUCAACCAUGCUCUUCAUAACUGGGACGAUUUGACCCACAUCAGUAGUGUUAAGCAGCAUAGCUCCUCCACACAUUCAUCAUGAGGAUACUACAGCUAGAAUGAUAGAGAAAAUCAGGGCAAAUCCAACCGCUAUACACAGAUCUCUUCGACCACUCAAGAAUGCGCUUGUCGUCAAAGCACCUGUUGUGGACCACUUGCCCUGCCCAGAUUUCUCUGUGAUCUCAAUGUGGCGUGAAGAAUGGUCUACAGCUAACAUCAGAACCAGUCUUUUAUAACUGACCCGACCAUGCAUGUACCCAGCUUUGAUUUGCUACACCACUCAUGGGCCCUUCUGAACUGAUUUCUAAUGGGCCAGGGUCAAUGUGCAGCCAACCUUCACACUUGGGGCCAACGAGACGAUCCCAUGUGUGGGUGUGGCCAAAGACAGACAAUGUCACACAUCACCGACGACUGCCCUCUGACCAGAUUUAAUGGUGGUCUGAGGACUCUGCACUUUGCUGAUGAGUCUGCUACAAAUUGGCUUGGGAAGCACCACACCCAAUAAGAAGAAGGGCAGAGACUGUCUCUUAUUAUGCAUUUGUUCAGUGCCACAACAGGGCCCCAAUCUUGGCGAGGGCUUCAAAGUGUUCCUUAAUAUCUAAAUAAACAAUAUCAUAAUAUUUUACAAAUAUGUGAGGGGUGUAAACACCAAUUUUUUAGGGGGCACAACUGAGCUAAUGGAAGAGAAAUAAGAAAAGGAUCACUCAGAAACACCGUCUUGAGUGAAUAGGAAAGAUUGGAAACCCUAUUCCUUAAUAUUUUAAAUUAGAUAGGACAAAGAAUUCUAGAAAGCUUACAGUAAGGAAAAUUCUACAUUGACAGGGAGGCUAGAUGAUUUUAGGAAAAAAUAAAUACAUUUGAGUGCCUUCUCUCUGUCAGUUAUAAACAUUAUAAUGGCAAGAGAUGCAAGCCAUAGCUAUCAUAUACAUACUGAAAAGCAGGGGACACGCCCAAUUCAUAGCCCUAGGGAACUCCGUAAUUCAAGGAGCAAUAUCAGAAGAUCACUUAUUUAUAGUGACAAACUGGCACCACUGAGGCAAAUACUAAUGAAGCAAUGUCAGAACAGUGCCCACAAGGCUCAGGAUCUGCUACAAGUAUUUUAAGAGAAACCUAUGAUCUACAGUAUCAAAAGCCACAGAAAGAUCAGUAAGAAUUAAAAUUGACAAUGUGCCAGAAUCCACCUACUAGAAAACAGAAGGUCACUACAAAUCCUCAUUAAAGCUGUCUCAGUGCUUUGGCCUGAUUGAAAUUUUUCAAACAGUAUGUUAUCAUCAUGAAGGUAAGGGCUGCAGUUGCCCUGCCACAACCUUUUUCCAGAACCUUGCUAAGAAAGGUAGAUUUGAAAUAAGGUGGAAAUCUGAGAAAUUGCCUGAGGACAGCGAAAGGCUGCUUAAUCAACUGCUCCAAUCUCCAGCAAAGAAGAAACUCUCCCAGAUGCCAAAAGAGGUGUUAAUGAUAGAUAUUAUAAAAGGGAGCUGCUGCAGUAUAUCUUCCAAGCACUGCCACAAAAGCCUUCCUGGCAACAGAUCAAGAGAACAGGUUGCAAGUGCAGGGCCACAUCUAUAAUAAAAGACAGUGUGACAGAUUUAAAAUCCAUAAGCUAGACUGAAGUACAUAGUUCAGAAUCCCAAUGACCCAGCUCAAACUGCAGUUGCUGUAAGCCUGGGCCUUUAAUAGAAAAGCAUUUUUGUUACAAGACUGGAGCUUCUUCCCACUCCUUAUCUUGUGUCCCUGAUGAUGGAAAUUCCACCUGCCCAGAUGUCUUUUCCAGUGCUGUUUGCUCCACAUCACUUCCCUAAGAACCCUCUACUCCCGUUCCAGCUGUGAAGCUACAAUAGAUUUUAAUUGAGGUGACUAUUCAGCCAUAGUAGAAAGGAAGCUAGAAAGAGCAAGAAUUCCUUGAGUAAGCAUGGACCUAUGUUGUAGCAGCUGUAUCAGUGAAGUGGGGGGAUGAAAAGGAAUGGAUCAUCUUUGGUUGAGCAAGCCAAGUAUGGGGGAUUUGCCCUGGGCUUGGAAACGAAAUUUAAAUGGACAUGGGAUCUCCCCUCCUUUUAUCAAUUAUUGUGUUUUGUAGUUUACCUUCAUCUAAAUAAAAUAGCUCAUUUUGACAUUCCCCUCCCCAUACUUGCAACUUCAACCUUCCUUCUUUAAAACCAGGAGGCUCUGCCACUGGUUCUUCACCUUCUCAGAGCUCUUUAUUGGGUCUUUAUUAUUCCAUCCUCAUAAUGAGAAUUGUCAUGUUAUUUCCCCAUACACAAAGAACAAUAAUAUAAUCAUUCUCAGCCUAAAUUGUUAUUAAUUUUGGUCUAAGGCAAACAAUAAGACAGAACAAAAGUCUCCAUGCACACACAGUUUGCCCCCCUUCCCCUGUAACACACUGUAAUCAUUCUGCCUCACUCAAAGGCAGCUGACUCUGAAGACAAUUAAAGGCAUAAACACGGAAAAAUGCAAAUACACAGAGAGCAGGAUCAUAACAGAUUCAAAGCAAAACUGUAUGUAGCUGUAGUUUGUUUUUUCAAGCUUUGACCUUGCUCCAAUUUAAUUACAGCUGAACCAGAAUAGGGUUUUAAAUGGUCCAGCCAGAGACAAAACAAAAACAAAGUGAACCUAGAAAGCCCCACACCGAAGUCUACCAUAAUCUGGAAUCCUGGUAAAACUGCAACCUUUCCAGGUAACAACACAGAAAGAAUAUCCGGAAAAUGUUAUUAGUUGGUUAUUUAUUCCUGAAGUUCCAACAGAGCCCAAACCAAAAAUUAAAGCAAAAGUGCAUAGAGACAAAGGAGCAGCUGUCUAUUACUACCCUCUGGGUUGAGUCUAAGAAGGAGGAUUAGUAUCUUUUGUGCAAGUCUGAGAAAUGUUUGUUCCUGGCUUCGAUAACCGCGCUUUUUUUUUUAAGUAGCAUUAGAAGAACCUUGUGCUUCACAAAGCUACUGAAGGGUUUUUCCUUUUCUUUUUUCCUUCCUAACCUGGAAAUCCUCCCUCUGGCAGCAGUUGAAGUUGGAGAAAAUUCUUUAUUAAUUUCUGAGCAAGCUGACAGAGAAGUUGAGUGACAAGCUGGUAGUUUGUGAGCCCAGUGAUGGUGUUUAAGCAUCAGCUGGAGUAAUGUGUGUUUUUGGGUGGGUGGUAGACACCUUCUUCAGAGCAGCUGUUAGCUAUUUUGUUUUCCAAACAUCUACUCCAAUUCACCCUUUUCAGGUACAAGGCAGAUAAGGUCAAUCCAUUUUCUAAUGGUACGUGGGUCCUGCCAGUGGCAGAUCUGUCCUCUCCCUUCUAAAUUUUUCCCUUUAGAAGUGCUAUUUGUUUCAUUCCCAAACAUUUUCAAUAUUACUGCUCUGCUACUAGAAUCAAACUUUUAUGCAUAUAUAAUUAACCCUAUGGAAACACCAUCAGGGAGGAGAAAAUGAGAAUCUGAGAUUAAGGUCAAAUCCUGGGGAUUGUCCCUGAUGCACUAGCAGAAAGACAAGAUGCAAUGGAUGUGGUUUAAUUAGACUGCGACUUUAUUAACUUAAUUCAUCUGGGAACUAUCCAGCAAUAACUUGUACAGUGCAGGUCAUGAUUCCUUCCUUAAUCAUUUCCACCUGGUGGAGGGCUGCUGUCAGCCCCCCAUCCCUCCAUAUCGGAUUCUCCUGCAUUGUUGGCACCCCACUACCCUCCCUUGAUAUGAGGGUUAGGGAGCUGGGGAAGAGGGGUUUUCUCCUCACUAAACAAGAAAUGAGGAGCCACAACCCCAUUCCCCAGCUUCAUUAAUGGAUGCCCUCUGCUAAAUCCCCUUGCAACUCUGAUUUAUCAGGGAAUUGGCCCCUGUGUAGAAUGAGUAUUUGUGCUGGACACCUGCCAAAUUGCAGCAACUUGAACCUAACCUCCUGACCUACCCAAGUGGUACCCUGACCUGCAGGGGGGAAGGCAAAAUACCUGCCACAGCUCAGUCAAUCUAGCAAUGAGGAAAAAUUUCCUUUGCCCACAGCAGACCAAAACACCCAGCUAUAUGCUAAUUCUAGACAUGGGAAGGUGCGAGCUGUUACUCUGGAUGUGAGAGGGGGCUCAGACUGGAGGUAUAUGGUAUAUACAUCCUCCCCUAUGUGCAUAGGGGCCAAUGGGUUAUUUGAGCCUCACCGCUCUGCCCAUCAGCUCAGGUGAUUCCUUUCCCCCUGGCAGCCACCCUCCUCCCCAAUUUCUGAAGUAGGGGGGAUCCUUAAAGGAGCCACUACCCUUUUUUCUUGCGAGUCCAGACAAAGUCCCCCACCCCUUUGAGACUGGAGGUAGCAAUGUAUCAGAAAGAGCAUGCUGGACUCUGAAGUAGAAAAAAAUGGGCACUGAUAUUUCACAGGAGACUAAGGAACAGCAGGAGGGACAGACACUGAACAUCUAAAGUAGCAGGUGCCAGGGGAGUGAGCCACACACAAUAAUGCUGCAACACAGUCAAGAGCCAGAGAUGGAAAGAAGGAAAAGAAAAUAAUGAAUUCUUCCUGAAGCCUCUUGCAUGGUUAUUACUGAAUGAAACAACAAGGCAGCCAGCAAUGGGACAAGUUCCAUCAACUUGUGAAGAGGAAAUGCAGAUAAAGAAACAGAUGGCACUUUAGUCUCCUGCAACACAAAGGGGAUGGAGACUUGCCCCUAACGCUUAUGUGGGGAAAUUCCUGGGUGGCACGAAGCCAGCACAGCCUUAGGGGACUGUUCUAGCCAACACAAGUUAGAGCAGACCUUUACGGAUAUGUUUAUAUCGCAAUGUAAGCCCAGGGUUAGUAGAACUUCAGUUAGAAGAGCAUGGGUUUGUUAAUCUUGGGCUUGAGCGUCUACCCUUAUUUGCAACCCUAGGUUAGGAAUUUUUGAACCCUGGGUCCCAACUGGGACUCCAGCAUCUAUACUGUAUUAUGCGGGUCCAACCACCCAUAUCCCAGACUUCCUAGUGCUCUUCCAAAACAUGGCCACUCCAGCCCUUUGUUCAUGCAGUAUAUUAAAACUUAACAGCCCACCAAACUUGACUGUCCAGAGGACAAAGUCUGCUUAUGGGAUUGUGGAAUACAAGAGCAUUAGUCCAGUGGGGUUGCUUCUACACUGCAAAACAACAGGACAUGAAUCCUGGGACCCAGCUUGAUUCAGGCUCCGACCCUCCACUCCUAUGGGAUCCUGGGACUCUGGUUCCGAGACCUGUGUUCUAGCGUGAUUUGUUGUAGAUGGAAAGGGGGUUAGGCUUGAACCUAAGUUUGAACCCUGGGCUUACACUGCCGUGUACCCACUCGUGCUCUGGUAAUCAAUUCCUAACCUGGAGUUACAAAGGAGUAUAGAUUCUCAAGCUGUAGGCUUACAAACCCAGCAUCUGCUAACUUGAGUUCUACUAACCCUGGGCUUAUGUUGCAGUGUAGACAUACCCUAAGAGUUCUAACAUGUGCUGAGGGCUGCUUCAGCCUCCGGCUGCUCCUCAGAUUGGUAUAUAGGAAAUGCUGUCCUGGAUCAGAUCUGUGGUCCUUCUAGUCCAGUAGCCAUUCACCAAAAGUGGGCAGUACCAGAUGCUUCAGAGCAGAUGCAAGAAGCCCUACAGUAGUCAUGGGAUAACCUGUCCCUAAGGGAAGUUUCCACCUAAUCUCCAAUAGAGGAGCACCCUUUCCAAAACUUUUAAAAAUGUAUAUUCUUUUCUACUAUAUAUUUCUAGAUAUAGCCUUAUUAUCUAUAUAAACAUUUAAUCCUUCUUCAAAUCCAGUCAAGCUCUUAGCUUCCAUGGUACCUUGCAGCAAUGAGUUUCACAAGCUAUUUGAAUAUUAUGUUUAAAUUGUUUCGUUUUAUCAAUUUACAAUUUGCCACCUAUGAAUUUCAUUGAAUGUUCUCUUUCUUGCAUUAUGAAUAAUGAUGAUCAGAGGCUCCUGAUCUACUUCU